GCAUCAAUGGGGUAGUGGUAACCUGGGUCGUUGCCAUUCUGCAGUGACAACUUCAUCGACCCGCCGGGGGUUCGAUUCCCCCUUGAUGCA